rnacentral:lncRNA from 1 species
AACCAAAGCCUGCGUCGGUCUGCGGCUAACGCUCAAAUGCUACAUCAGGGAAACGAAACUAGCUUCAUCCAGAAACGUCAGGUUACGCUAAUACGGUGGUUCUGGAGGGACCGGCGCUCGUUACCUGCAGUGCCGUGUCAAUAACAACGUCGCCGUGGUGACCAGCGUCUACAUCUGCAUCUAUAGCAGCAAACAAAGGUUUUCAGGAUAUUCGGAGGAAAAUGUAUUUUUAAAACAAUGCAAAUAUCGAUGUAUGGUUCCGUAACGAGGGACGUGCACCUGCAUCUUGGGUGGAAGAUCUCCUUCAGUCUAAUGCUAAUGAUCUGGGUGGUGACCUGAGAGUCGUUGGUCGGGUCGUUCACCUAGUUUCAGUUGAGGCGUCGCCCCUUUGUCUGCUGGCUGGUGGGUCUCCAGGUCUCCUGGAAGGGUGUGAACGUUUGGUUUGUUGGUGGAAGGAGAGGGGGACUGCCUUGGGUGACAGGAAGUGCCUCAGCCCACCACCUCUGUUUAAGGGUGGUUUUUCCAGUUUGACAUGGAUGCUUCCUUGACCCCCCUCUCAGACCAGCGGUCUUCUCUGGCCAGUAUCGUACUGGGCUGUCCUGGAAGGAGCGCUCGUUCUCCUUUAGGUGUAAGGAGAGCGAGCGCUCCUUACUCCAAACUACCUUGGAUCCCCUCAGAGCUCUGUGAAGGAGUCAUUAUUUAUGUAAUGACAAUGUUAUAACAUAAGCAUAUUGCACAGAGAACCAAACUGGGAACAAAUAUCGUAUUAAGUUCACACACUUUUACUCUAAAGGGAGAUGUUCUCCAAGAUUCUGAGAGAGUUUUUAUUCUUAAACCAAUGAAGGCUCGAGGAGGAGACCCUGCCACCCUGUCCUGGCCCUCCCACCGUCCUCCUCACCGGGGUUAGGCUCCUCCUGUUCUGGCACGUCCUCACUCCAAUCACCGUCAACCUUCCCAUCAUGGAAGAUCAGCUCAAGGAUCCCUAACCCUAACCCUAAGGAUCAGCUCAGGGAUCAGCUCAGGGAUCAGCUCAAGGAUCAGCUCAAGGAUCAGCUCAAGGGACGCCACGUCCUGCUGCUGCCGUGCCACCCGCUAGCGUUAGCGACGUCCCCAGAUCGUGGGUCGACCCAGAUGAUGUUCCUUUCCUCUCCACACCCGGGGAUGAGCCGGGCUCUCUCAGCUUACAUUUGGACUGUUGACAGAUCGAAGCUCAAACAGCUGGAUGACGACUGCACGGCUGUUUCACAUCUGGAGGACGCCUUCAGCUGCAAGGGACAGACAACCGCUGCUUAAUAUCAGGUGAAAUGUUGUGGAAAUGAUGUCAAAAGAGGAAGUUACAACCAGGAAACUGUAAUUUAACACUUAUUUAUAUCAUUACAUUGCUAAAUGUGCCUAGUAAAUAUUAAUGUUGCCACAUAAAUAGACUCUCAAACUUGAUAUGAGUGAAACAUUUUAACAGUAUUAUGAGUUUUUAAACUUGUUAUCCAGAAACUUUUCCACAUAUUGAAUAUAGAAAGGGAUUCGUUAGAAAAGAGGAUUCCGUGUGUGUGAAGAGCAAGAGCCUGAAGUGUCGGAUUAUUUUAAUACGCAACCAAAAAUUAUAUAUCACAUUAAUUAUACGUGGCUGAAACCACAAAAAGC